CGGACCUGUGAAGGGGCUAGGGUGGGCCUUAGCCCGGUCAAAUUUUUGAACGCUCAAAAUUUUACCAGUCUUGCUACUCGUUUACUGAUCCUUAGCCCCGUACAAAAUUUUUAAAAGCCCACUCUUCUUUUGAAAAUUCUGGUUUCUAACUGUAUCAUUGAAAGUCGUUGCUGUCACUUUAAUGUUUUUAUUAUUCUCUAUUUUAUAUUACUUUUGAUUAAUCUUUUUAAUUUCUCAUACUUGUGUAAAACACUUAUAUAAAUAUAGCAUAAAAGUUAAAAAUAUAAGCAAUUUUGCGUAUAAUUUAUUAUUUUUUGUUUCGUGUUUCCCUUGAUUUAUCAUUUUUUUAAUUUUCUAAUUUGUGUAAAACACUUAUAUAAAUAUAGCAUAAAUAUCAAUAGUUUUGUUAUUUUAUGUUACGAUAUAUUUCGUUAAACUUAAUGUUAACACUAUUGUGAGUAAAAUUUAUUUAGAUUUUUAAUAUAUUAUAAAUUUAUGUUCGUAUUUAUUUGUUACAAUAUUUAUGAUUUAUCUUUUAUUUAUAAUUUUACAUUCAAUGUAAAAUUAUCAAUUAUGAUCCACAAUUCAUAAAUAUUAUUUAUAUAUUUCAUAGUACAUAAAUAUUAUAAACUCGAAAUCGAUUUUUACUAACACUCAAACAUGAAGUUCGUCAAGAAAAAAAAAAGACAUUAAUUUUUUCACAUGUAAAAUUAUUAAAUACUACUUUUUUUUUCCUUUGGCCUUUACCGGCUCCUAGUAUUUUAGCCCCGGUAAAGCUCAAACUCUGGGUCCGCCCCUGCCUGUAAGCAUUGCAUUCCAAACAACCACAUCCUUGUCCAUAAUUUCAUCGAAAAGGGUCAUCGAAUACCCAACACACCCACCUCUUGAAUACUUAACUAGCAGAGAAGUUGCACUAGGCAUUCCAUCAAACACAUGGUGGGCAUUGGAUAUGCAAGCAAGUGAAUGCAGAGAAACACAGAACACAUUUGCUAAGGACAAAGUGGGUCCGAUGGGUGGUAAUGAAUAUGUAUGCUGCUGCUUUCUCCAGUUGAUUAAUGAGUAAAAUUGAAAGUGAGUUUAAUGGUCGUUCAAGGAGAAGCAGGCGAAAUAUGCACCGUUGUAAGAGGAGAUUUGAAUUGCAAUAUAGACGAAUGUGCUAGUUGGUGUUCAAGUACAUACAACGGCAAUGGAACUUGCACGGCUAUCAAUUGCACAUGCAUGUACCCAUGUCCUCGCUGAUAUUUUUCUCAAUGAUAUCUGUAUUACAUAUUAUUUUUAUUGACUAAUAAUGAUGGUAAUAUAAUAAA